GCCGAACAUCCAGCCUAUAAACUUUUUAAGCAAACUCACAACAGACCACACACAAAAUAAAACAUUUUCAUGUUUAAGUAGAGGCGAUUAAAAAAACUCCAAGAGCUUUAACUUCAGUACCGCAAGGGAAAGAUGAAAUAUAAAUGAAACAAAAUUAAGCACAAAAUAGUAGAGAUAUAAACUCGUACCUUUUGCAUCAUGGUCUAGCAAGUCCCCAUCAAGCAAAAUGAAAUUCAAGUUUGAUUUCCCGAAACUAGGCGAGCUACUUCAAAACAGCCUGUAGGGCCAACCCGUCUCUGUUGCAAAAGAGUGGGAAGAUUUUCAAGUAGAGGUGACAAGCCAACCGAGCCUAGAGAUAGCUGGUUAUUCAAGAAAAGAAUUUUAGUUCCGCCUUAAGCUUCUGCUUGACACUAAACAAGCCAUUAAACUUAAGAGCUAUUCAAAUAAGGCACAGCUUAUUUGAAAAAGGAUACAACCUAAACCUUAGGGUAAGAGCCAAACAAUUUAAUAAAGUAGGCCUAAAAGCAGCCACCUUUCAAAAAGCGUUAAAGCUUUGUUUUUGAGUGAUCCAAUAUCACCAAUCAUUACAAACCCAUCCACACUAUUGAAUGACUUCAUAAACUAUGAAGACCCCCAUGCUAGAACUAGUAACAAGAAAAUGACUUUCUCCAAAGUGUAAGUAUAAACCAAUAAUUGACAAUCCACGGGUACUUAACGACAAUGAACCACCUAUAGCAACCACACAAGAGAACUCUAUAGCCCCUGCCGUUAACCUUACACAAGAACACUUCUGGAAAGAUUAAAAGGAAGAGAAGGAACUCGGCAAAUUUUAACCCCGCCUGUUUACCAAAAACAUCGCCUCUUGAAAAAAUAUAAGAGGUCCAGCCUGCCCACUGAUUUAAUUCAACGGCCGCGUGAUUUUAAGCGCGCAAAGGUAGCAUAAUCAUUUGUUCUUUAAAUAAGGACUAGUAUCAAUGGCACCACGAGGGCUAUACUGUCUCCUCUACCCAAUCAGUGAAACUAAUCUUCCUGUGAAAAAGCAGGAAUACCACUAUAAGACGAAAAGACCCCAUGGAGCUUAAAACACGGCAACAACCAUAAUACUGUAAACCAACAGAAUUUCAAGCCAUGUCUGCUAGUUUUAGGUUGGGGUGACCGCGGAGCACAACAAAACCUCCACAGCAAAAAGGGCCUCCCCAUAUCCAAGAGAUACUGCUCUAAGAAUCAACAAUAUGAUGCUCAAUGACCCGACCAUCGAUCAACGGACCAAGUUACCCUGGGGAUAACAGCGCAAUCUACUUAGAGAGCCCAUAUCGACAAGCAGGCUUACGACCUCGAUGUUGGAUCAGGAUGUCCCAGUGGUGCAGCCGCUACUAAAGGUUUGUUUGUUCAACAAUU
rnacentral:rRNA from 1 species